AAUCAACGCUGGCGGCGUGCCUCAGACAUGCAAGUCGAACGCGAAAUUUCCCUUCGGGAGAAAGUAGAGUGGCGCACGGGUGAGUAACACGUAGGUAAUUUGCCUUUGGGUGGGAAUAACUCAGGGAAACUUGAGCUAAUACCGCAUAAUGCAGCGGCUCGACAUCGAGACAGUUGUUAAAGCGGGGAUUGGAGCAAUCCGACCUCGCGCCUAAAGAGAAGCCUGCGGCAGAUUAGCUAGUUGGUAAGGUAAUAGGCUUACCAAGGCGACGAUCUGUAACCGGCCGUGAGAGGGCGGUCGGUCCACACUGACACUGACAUAC
rnacentral:rRNA from 1 species